CUGAACCAGCCAAGUAGCGUGAAGGAAGAAGGAUCUAUGGUUUGUAAACUUCUUUUAUAGGGGAAUAAAGUGGAGGACGUGUCCUUUUUUGUAUGUUCCCUAUGAAUAAGCAUCGGCUAACUCCGUGCCAGCAGCCGCGGUAAUACGGAGGAUGCGAGUGUUAUCCGGAUUUAUUGGGUUUAAAGGGUGCGUAGGUGGUGAUUUAAGUCAGUUGUGAAAGUUUGCGG
rnacentral:rRNA from 1 species